CGCAGCCGCGGUAAUUCCAGCUCCAAUAGCGUAUAUUAAAGUUGUUGCAGUUAAAAAGCUCGUAGUUGAAUUUCGGGAUCAAUUAAUCGGUCGUGCCUCUGGUACGCACUGGUUUUAUUGGUUUCUCCCUUCUGACGAACCAGGAUGUCAUUAAUUUGGUGUCUUGGAGAAUCAGGACUGUUACUUUGAAAAAUUAGAGUGUUUAAAGCAGGCUUCUAGGCAUGAAUACAUUAGCAUGGAAUAAUGAAAUAGGACGUUUGAUCCUAUUUUGUUGGUUUCUAGGAUCGACGUAAUGAUUAAUAGGGAUAGUUGGGGGCAUUAGUAUUCAAUUGUCAGAGGUGAAAUUCUUGGAUUUAUUGAAGACUAACUAUUGCGAAAGCAUUUGCCAAGGAUGUUUUCAUUAAUACAAGAACGAAAGUU
rnacentral:rRNA from 1 species